GACGAACGCUGGCGGCGUGCCUAAUACAUGCAAGUCGAACGCACUCUCGUUUAGAUUGAAGGAGCUUGCUCCUGAUUGAUAAACAUUUGAGUGAGUGGCGGACGGGUGAGUAACACGUGGGUAACCUGCCCUAAAGUGGGGGAUAACAUUUGGAAACAGAUGCUAAAUACCGCAUAAAACCUAACACCGCAUGGUGUAGGGUUGAAAGAUGGUUUCGGCUAUCACUUUAGGAUGGACCCGCGGUGCAUUAGUUAGUUGGUGAGGUAAAGGCUCACCAAGACCGUGAUGCAUAGCCGACCUGAGAGGGUAAUCGGCCACACUGGGACUGAGACACGGCCCAGACUCCUACGGAGGCAGCAGUAGGGAAUCUUCCACAAUGGACGAAGUCUGAUGGAGCAACGCCGCGUGAGUGAAGAAGGUUUUCGGAUCGUAAAACUCUGUUGUUGGAGAAGAAUGUAUCUGAUAGUAACUGAUCAGGUAGUGACGGUAUCC
rnacentral:rRNA from 1 species